GAUGAACGCUGGCGGCGUGCCUAAUACAUGCCAGUCGAGCGAACAGACGAGGAGCUUGCUCCUCUGACGUUAGCGGCGGACGGGUGAGUAACACGUGGAUAACCUACCUAUAAGACUGGGAUAACUUCGGGAAACCGGAGCUAAUACCGGAUAAUAUAUUGAACCGCAUGGUUCAAUAGUGAAAGACGGUUUUGCUGUCACUUAUAGAUGGAUCCGCGCCGCAUUAGCUAGUUGGUAAGGUAACGGCUUACCAAGGCAACGAUGCGUAGCCGACCUGAGAGGGUGAACGGCCACACUGGAACUGAGACACGGUCCAGACUCCUACGGGAGGCAGCAGUAGGGAAUCUUCCGCAAUGGGCGAAAGCUUGACGGAGCAACGCCGCGUGAGUGAUGAAGGUCUUCGGAUCGUAAAACUCUGUUAUUAGGGAGGAACAAAUGUGUAAGUAACUAUGCACGUCUUGACGGUACCUAAUCAGAAAGCCACGGCUAACUACGUG
rnacentral:rRNA from 1 species